rnacentral:RNase_P_RNA from 1 species
GGAGUAAAUUGAAUAAUCGCGUCAAAUGACGAGGAAAGUCCGUGCACCACAGAGUAAGGAUGCUAGAUAACGUCUAGUAAGGGUGACCUUCAGGCAAGUGCAAAAGAAAGUAUACCGCCAAUUUUUUUUGGUAAGGGUGGAACGGUGAGGUAAGAGCUCACCAGAUAAUUAGUGAUAAUUAUGCUGUGUAAACCCCAUCCGGUGCAAGAACAAAAGGGACAGUAGGAUUUCUACUCGAAACGGUCCAGUAUGGUAGUUCGCUUGAGCUAAUUGGUGACAAUUAGUCUAGAUAGAUGAUUAUUUUUAACAGAACACGGCUUAUAGAUUUACUCUUAAU